rnacentral:lncRNA from 1 species
GGAUUCUGUUUGGGCACGAUUCUAAGAGCUGCUUUUGGAACUCUCAAAUUUGAUUACAACUGCAGCAUAUUGUUCGAGACUUGGUCGUGUGGAUCUUGAUCGUAUUAACUGGAAUUUGAGCUUCUCCGACUUGAGGAGUUGGAUCAUGAAGCAGUGAGGAUUUAGUAACAACCUCGAGCCAAGGCAACAAAUUAUUCAAUUCAAUCUCUCAGGUCGCAGCUGCGUUUUAUUGCGAUGACACUCAUUACGACCUCUAUGGGUGGUAUUAGCACUUGUGCUCAUCCCCUUGAGGAAGGAAAGGU